rnacentral:antisense_RNA from 1 species
UAGCUAUUUACCUGGUAAACGAAUAUAACUAUAUUGAAUCUAAAAUUUGAAAAUAAUGAAAUACAAGUAAUAUUGUAUUCAAUAAAAGCCCGUAGUUAAGCCCAUACAGCAUUUGGUUCAAGAAAUACAAAAAUAUUCAGCUAUUUUAAUUACUAUUAAACUAUAACGAGUUUUAAAAUUAAAAGUUACGAAUUAAAACGCUCAUUGUUUGACGUGGUUUCGCACAAUGAUGUUUCCUGGAGGUCUGGACACUCUAAUCCACUGUCAUUAUUUUUGGUAAUUAUAGACCUAUAUCUUUUCUUGUAACUUUGUCCAUCAUUUGGAUUAAAAAUACAGUUUGACCAAUUAGACCACAUGGAUGUGGCGCAAUCUAUCGAGCAAGCUUUUUCAGAGAUGAUGGUCUCAGAAUUCCCAGAAACCCAACCUUCAAGUUUAAACAUACACCCUAUAUGGUUAUAAACAUUAAUGCAAACAGGAGUCCCAUCUUCAAUUGAAACCAUUUCUAUUUUGGGAAAAGUGCUUCUUUCACCAAUUGUUUGAUCCCAUAUACCAUAAGACCAAUACACACAGCUCUUAUUAUUAAUACACUCAUCCCUGCAUUUUUUAAUAUCUAUAUUUUGAAUUAAUUUGGAACCACCUCCCGGAAUUUCAUAGGCACUACAGCCCCAUCCCAAAGCAACGAUCCCAUAAUCUGGACAAUUCGCUGGGCAACGUAGUUUAUCAAGCUUACAGGACCUCAAUUCACUCUUAUUCGGACAAAUUUCACCCGGGAACAUCGGUGAAAAAAUAACAUUUCGCAUACGCUCAGAAUAACCUCCGCAUGGCCUCGAACGAGUGCAUCUUGACCAUCCUGACCAUUCCCCCACCACACAUGUUGUAGAGCAGUAUCCGGCCAUUGAUGUAGGUAUUGUUCCUGAUACAUAUGAAUCGUCUCUUGCCGAACAGCGAGAUGACUUAGACUUUAAGCUACACGAAAAAUCCGUUGCCCUCCAUGACCAAUACUUGCACUUCCUAUAUUUAAAUGAAGCAGAAUGUUUUGUACAUUCAUUUGCACAGCUUAUCCAUGAUUCAGUCUUAAAUGAUUUCAAUUUAUUUAGACCAAGACACAGGAACCCAUGUGAAACUGAUCCAUAAUUUGGACAAUUUGCCAUUUCGGGUUUUUCUUGCGCUUUGCAGUUUAUAUUAUGAAUGAAAAAAAUAAUAAAUAAUACCAAUGUAUUCCUUAUGUACCUAAUUGGAAAUAUAACCAUUUUCCCAUCGAAAAGCCGUGUAAUAUUUGCCUUGAAAAAAUUUGAGAAUUGAUUGGUCAAUUAACAACUGAAAGGCGGGAACGCUCCGUUAUUUAAUUAUGAUCUUGAUAUAUUGUUUUAUUAAUUUUUAAUUAAAACAUCGAAUUUUGAAGCUAAAAGCUUAUCGUUCAGCAAGUUGCUUGAAUUAUAUAUCUCAGAAAAUUCGACUUCUUCAUAGUUUUGAAUUCUGUUAGGCGAAUGCAUCAAUUCUCUAUCCCGAAUAUUUUGAUUAUAAAUUGAAGUAAGAUUGAUAUUACAUAGAGGGCAAUUUGACUUUAUUUUUACCCACUCAUCAAUGCAAUUAAAAUGGUAAAUGUGUUUACAAGGAAGUUUUCUCACUAGGUCUUCAUCACAAAUAUUAUUUAAACAUAUUACACAGGAAUAGUUGUUUUUUGACUUAUGCGUUGAACCAGAGGAUAAAUAUCCAGAGAACGAGCUGCUCUUAUUAUAAAUAUUGUACUCUCUUCUAUAAUGUUUAUUUGAAAGCGAACUAUACUUUUUUACCGGGGCAAUUUUUGAGAGUUCUUCAUUGCUGAUUGUUUGCGAAACUAUUGAAUUUCUAUCGGAGAUACGAAUUGAAAAGCUAUUUCUAUGACGAACAUCUCGAUUCCCUUCAAAUUCGCACGGUAUUCUUCUACAAAAAAUCAGUGCAAAAUUACAGAAAAUGAUCGUUGCUAAAAGGCAUACGGAGAAUGCGAUUAACAUUGCAAAUCUGUUCUUUUAUUUUUAAUAAUUCUAGUAUGUAUUUUUACAAUUAAAAUUUAAAAAAUUCAACUUUUCUCAUUAUUCAGCAAUGUACAGGAAAUAGAGGUGACGUUUGGGAUAGAGAAAUUAUUAUUUUUAUAUUAGAAUGCAACAAUUUUAAAUAUUUAC